rnacentral:rRNA from 1 species
UACGUAGGGGGCAAGCGUUAUCCGGAUUUACUGGGUGUAAAGGGAGCGUAAACGGUUAAGCAAGUCAGAUGUGGAAGCCCAGGGCUCAGCCCGGGGAGAGCAUUUGAAACUGUUAAACUGGAGUGCUGGAGGGGUGAGCGGAAUUCCCGGUGUAGCGGUGAAAUGCGUAGAUAUCGGGAAGAACACCGGCGGCGAAGGCGGCUCACUGGGCAGCAACUGACGUUGAGGCUCGAGAGCGUGGGGAGCAAAC